CUCCGGGAAACCGGAGCUAAUACCGGAUAGUUCCUUGAACCGCAUGGUUCAAGGAUGAAAGACGGUUUCGGCUGUCACUUACAGAUGGACCCGCGGCGCAUUAGCUAGUUGGUGAGGUAACGGCUCACCAAGGCGACGAUGCGUAGCCGACCUGAGAGGGUGAUCGGCCACACUGGGACUGAGACACGGCCCAGACUCCUACGGGAGGCAGCAGUAGGGAAUCUUCCGCAAUGGACGAAAGUCUGACGGAGCAACGCCGCGUGAGUGAUGAAGGUUUUCGGAUCGUAAAGCUCUGUUGUUAGGGAAGAACAAGUGCAAGAGUAACUGCUUGCACCUUGACGGUACCUAACCAGAAAGCCACGGCUAACUACGUGCCAGCAGCCGCGGUAAUACGUAGGUGGCAAGCGUUGUCCGGAAUUAUUGGGCGUAAAGGGCUCGCAGGCGGUUUCUUAAGUCUGAUGUGAAAGCCCCCGGCUCAACCGGGGAGGGUCAUUGGAAACUGGGAAACUUGAGUGCAGAAGAGGAGAGUGGAAUUUCCACGUGUAGCGGUGAAAUGCGUAGAGAUGUGGAGGAACACCAGUGGCGAAGGCGACUCUCUGGUCUGUAACUGACGCUGAGGAGCGAAAGCGUGGGGAGCGAACAGGAUUAGAUACCCUGGUAGUCCACGCCGUAAACGAUGAGUGCUAAGUGUUAGGGGGUUUCCGCCCCUUAGUGCUGCAGCUAACGCAUUAAGCACUCCGCCUGGGGAGUACGGUCGCAAGACUGAAACUCAAAGGAAUUGACGGGGGCCCGCACAAGCGGUGGAGCAUGUGGUUUAAUUCGAAGCAACGCGAAGAACCUUACCAGGUCUUGACAUCCUCUGACAACCCUAGAGAUAGGGCUUUCCCUUCGGGGACAGAGUGACAGGUGGUGCAUGGUUGUCGUCAGCUCGUGUCGUGAGAUGUUGGGUUAAGUCCCGCAACGAGCGCAACCCUUGAUCUUAGUUGCCAGCAUUUAGUUGGGCACUCUAAGGUGACUGCCGGUGACAAACCGGAGGAAGGUGGGGAUGACGUCAAAUCAUCAUGCCCCUUAUGACCUGGGCUACACACGUGCUACAAUGGACAGAACAAAGGGCUGCGAGACCGCAAGGUUUAGCCAAUCCCACAAAUCUGUUCUCAGUUCGGAUCGCAGUCUGCAACUCGACUGCGUGAAGCUGGAAUCGCUAGUAAUCGCGGAUCAGCAUGCCG
rnacentral:rRNA from 1 species